rnacentral:lncRNA from 10 species
CAGGUUCUUAACCUAGGAUCUAAGAAAGAACCUUUAGGAGAGGAGCCUUGGGAGAGACAAAUGACUUGAAGUUGUUCAUUUUCAUGUGUAUGAACAGAAGUGCAUUUUUCAGGAAGAGGAGUUCCCACGGUUUUCAUCAGGUUCUCAAGGAAUCUGCGACUGCAAAAUAUUAAACCCGCGACUUGAUUCAAUUUUCAGGGCAGAGAGCAGAAACCUCUCAGAGGCCAUUCAUUCAUUCAUUGGAUUUUGGACAUCACUAUCAACAUGGCCCCAUGUCAAACAUCUGAUUAUGAAGAUCACCAGAUAAAUGUUUCCUGGGGAGCGUAAACAAAGAGUCACAGGAGUUUAGAGGCACUGGAGCUGGUUUCCAGCGGGGCUUCCCUGCCCCUGCCCUGCAGCACCACCAGAUCAAUCUUCCUGCCACAGCGCUUUGAUCAUGUCACCGCUCUACUCAGAAAACUUCCAUGACCCUCUGUGGCCUGGCGUCUUUUCCCAUCUGCUAUGGAAGGUAUUUCAUCCAUGUUAUUUCAUCCAUGACACUGUCCCAUUAGAAUUGUGACAUGGUUGAAAGCCCUGGAGUUGUUAUUACCAGACCUGUGUGUGAAUUCUGCUUCUGUUACUUUUUAGCUGAGUGAGCUGGGGCAAUCCUUGUAACUUUCCCAGAUUUAGCUUCUUCAUUUGUCAACUGUUGAUAUUGUCCAUAUCAUGGGUUUGGCAUAAAAUUAAAUGAGAUAAUAUGGGUGAAAGUUCUUUGUUAACUGUAAAGUGUCUUGUGAGCACAUGCACAUAUGAUAUACACCUUUACAAAGGCACUCAGUAAUCACCUAUUUAUAAAUAUGGCUAGUGCUUUCCUGUAAAAUAUGCCUGUAAGUCAUUAUACACCGCCGCCCACCUUGGAGUGGGAUAUUUGUUUUGGGACUCUGAGGGAUGAAAGGAAUUUGAGAAGAAAAUGGGAGAAAGGCAUUUCAGUCUCACAGAGUGGCAUGAGAAUAUGUUAAGAGGUUUUAAGGCCUACAGUGUAUUUGGGGAACAGCAAAUCAUCUGCUUUGCUCAAGUGCAAGGUAUACCCAGAGAAAAAUCUGGAGCUCACCUUGGAAAGAACUGGAAUCAAAUGUGAAGGCUCCCAAAGGCUGGGCCAGGAGGUCUGCGCUCAGGCAAUAGGAGUCAUGGGAGGUUUUUGAGCAGAGAAAUAAUUUCUCAGUCUUCUAAGGGAUGGAUUGAUAGGAAGAUGGUUAGAGGUGAAGAGGGUGCCUGGGAGGCUGUGGCUAGGGCAGGUGUCAAAAGAUCAGUUGCUGAGGCCACAUUCUGACCAAGGAAAUGGAAAGGCAUAAAGAUAAGUUAGUGAGAUUGUUGUGAAAUCAUUGGCUGGAUUUUUGUGUGUGUGUGUGGUCCAUGACUGAACCCUGGGGAAGAGGAAUAAAGACAGAUCGAAGAGGUUUUAAGCUUGAUGGUGAUCUUGGGUUGGAGAAAAUUAGCCUAUUGAGGACCAGAGAACAUGAAGGUGAUGUGUGUGUGGGGUUAUUUAUUUGCCUGGGAUGUGGUGGUAAUGGAAGAGAAAAUAGAAAAUGUAGCCAGCAGUGAUACCUGAACUAGCUAGGGAGGCAGCAGCCUAGGGGUGGGACAGUGCCUCCAGUUGCUCACAAACCUCACUGAUUCCAAAG